ensembl:lncRNA FMR1 neighbor
ACUGGUUGCUACUGUGGUGGUGUUGUUUGAAACCUAUUUUAAAGAAAUCCUUAAAGUAAUUUCUGAGUGUGCUAUAAAACUGGAUCAUUAAAAAAAGAGCAACAAUUAUAGGUGAAUGCUUUAAGUUUCUACUGAGGAUUCAAUAAGACAAAGAUUCUUUCUCGCAUUUUUGCUCUGAAUUCCAAUAUUUUUUUCCAAUAAAAAUUUCCAGUUUCCAAUAAAAGCAGGUAAUUUAAACCAAAUGAGCAUCCUGUAGAUGUUAUCUUUAAAUGAUGAGGAACUCAACUAUUUUAGAAAUGGUAUAAUGAAGAUUUGUUUAAGGUCAAAUGGGGGUAUUAAAUGCCUUUUUUUUUUUUUUUUUUGGCUGAUGGAUUUAGUCUAUACUUGAGGCUCGUGUUAAAUUUAAUAAAAUCAAUUGUCUGUUAUGAGGAGUGUAUUUUCAUAGCCUGAGGUAUCCAUUACCUGAUCUGCAUAUGUGCCUAUUAGGUGGUGUUCCUGUAUAUUGUAUGUUAGUAAUGGCACAAACUUAACUUACUGAGUUAAAAGACUGUGUCUUCUAGCCGUCUGCUCCUUGGGAAGCUGACUUUUUCAUGCCACAUGCAGCUGCUUUUUCUGGUCUAUCGAACGUUAGCUUCAGUUCCACAUCUGUACUGUUUGUUCUGAGCUACGUCAUAGGUAACAAGUAGCCCAUUGUGACAAGGAGGUUUGACUCUGCCUGGAGUUGCACAGGGUAGCAGUGAUCUUACUGAUCCAAUUGCAGAAGAAAAUACAAGUAAUGCUACAAGAAGGAAUUGGCUUUCAUCUAUUGUGGAGCUAUGUCAUAUUGAUACUGCUUCAUAGCGUCAAUUCAAGUUUUACAUCACCAACUCCUGCUUCAGAAAAAAAUGAAGUGGCAGGCAGCAACUUUGUCACGAAAGUGAAAGGUGCAUCUAACGCGUUUUUAAACCUCUUCAGGCCAGUGACUUGCCGAUACAAAGAAAGGCACACCUUAGUCCCUUGUCGUGCAGGAGGGAACAUUAAUGCAACAAAGUGCUUGGAAAAUAGAUGUUGUCCUUCCAAAGGCAGGCAUCAACUGGAAUGUUAUGUCCCAUUUAAAGACAAUCUGCAGCUGGCACUUCGACUGUUUCUGGUUGGGGCACUUGGAUGUAUAAUUUUGGGUUGUGUACCAUUAUUUUGCUGUGCCUGGCUUCAGAAGAGUCCAUGUAUCAAUCCUUUACGAAGUGCAAACAUAACAAUAGAACAAAUUGUGAAGAACAAGAGAGCAAAUAGUGAAGAAAUGCGUAGCUUGUUAUCAAAUUGACCUAAAGGCUUUGAGGAGCAUAAACACAAAAGAAAGAGGACCAUCCAUGUCAUAUUAAUGAGGAUGGAGGAGAAAGACACCAGGAUUAUGCACUAACUAUGAGUAUGCUCUAGGAAAUGAUUUCUUUUAGCAUCACAGUAAUAUAGUGUUGCCAACCCUUGAUGAUGCUAUUGAUUUUUGCAUUAGAAGUUGUUCAUUUCUGUUUCUUUGUACUCACUCCAUAUCUCCUUUAUGAAAAAAAAGAUGGUAAUGCUGAAAGGGAAAAACUGGUCAUUCUGUCUCCUGGAUGCUAAAGCCACCUGAUGUGCUAGUAAAGCACCUUCACAAUUCGGAGGUCAGCCUUAGAGUGACAUUCUCAAAGACAUACUUAGGCAAAGAACUUCAGGAAACUGGUAGCAUUUCCUCUGCCGUUGUUUCUGUUCAUGGUAUAUCACUGCACCACAGAACUUCCUUAGAUCUUUAGGAUACGUCUCUCAAGGCAAGUGAUGCCAAAAUGCAAUUUCUUUCAGUCUCCCUGAAGUGUAACACAAAACAAGAAAUGAAUGUGUAAUCGUUUUGAAUAGCAAAGUAAUGAUACUUUGAAACUGUACUCACAAUGUUCAUACAUUUUUCUUAGUUUUGCUAGUUCUAAAAGAGACAUCAGUUAAAGCCCAAGUGUAAUAGAGUUGAAGUACGCAUAUGGGCAGUCUCAUGAAACUGACAGAGCAUGCAGUUAUAAUACAGCAUUAGCAUAUGCAGAAGUUUUACAGCUUGAUAUGGCAACCCUUGUCAGGAACACUGUAUUAGAGAUGGUUGGGAUACAAUUUUCUAAGGACAAGAAUUACAAUGUUUUUGAUGUUGAGCAGCAGAAUGAUGGAGAUUGAAUCGUGUUCAGUUUGCCUUCCAAAUCUGAUCUGUUUGCUGCUUCUUGAUGUUACUUUUAUGAAUCCUGAGAUAUGUCUGCAAAUAUUUUGACAAAGAUAGAAAUAAUUUCCUGCUUCUUGAAUUUAGGGGCACUCUUACAACUGAAAUGUGCGUGCAACAAACACAUACAUCU